CGCCCCCUUCCCGGCCCCGUCGUCCACACCCCCUUUCCGCCCCGCAGCUGCUGGUGAGGUGGCCGUGGCCGCGGCUCCGGCGGUCCGGCGCCCCCUUGCCGGCCCUCUGCUACUGGCUUUCUGGUGUUGCAUAUCUUUGGAGUCAUAGUCGUCGAAGGCAUUGGUCUGUGAUUUCGUUGUCGUUUGACUACUUCGUCUACAGUCGAGGCACAUUGUUGAGUGCAUGGCGGUCGGCAGGGUUCCUCAAUUGCAACCAGCACCAUCUCCUCCACCACAACCAGUGCUGCUUGCUUUUGAGGAGUUUCUGGCACAGAACCCUGGCCCCUCGUCGGGAACCGGUGGAUCUACCAUUGGUGGUGGUGCUGGUCUUGGCAUCACUCCCGAGUCACGGAGCCCGAUCACUCUGAUCCAUGGAGGCGGUGAUGGUCUUGGCGGUAGCGCUGCCGCUAGCAGUGAUGACCUGGGCUUCGGCGGACUUGGCGGUGGUGGUGGAUGUCCUGGCGCUUAAGCCUUUGGGUGACGGUGGUGGUGAUCAUAAACUUGUGUUCUUUAGAUGACUUGUGGUCUUUUAUGGUCUUUUGCAUGACUUGUGGUCUUUUAUGGUCUUUUAGAUGACUUGUGUGCUUCUUUAGAUGCUUAUGUUUGUGAUGAUGGUUAUGUUUGUCAUGAUACUUAUAUUGUUGUGAUGGUGUUUGUUG